AUUGAACGCUGGCGGCAUGCUUUACACAUGCAGGUCGAACGGCAGCGCGGGCUUCGGCCUGGCGGCGAGUGGCGAACGGGUGAGUAAUACAUCGGAACGUGCCCAGUAGUGGGGGAUAGCUCGGCGAAAGCCGGAUUAAUACCGCAUACGACCUGAGGGUGAAAGCGGGGGAUCUUCGGACCUCGCGCUAUUGGAGCGGCCGAUGGCAGAUUAGCUAGUUGGUGGGGUAAAGGCCUACCAAGGCGACGAUCUGUAGCUGGUCUGAGAGGACGACCAGCCACACGGGGACUGAGACACGGCCCAGACUCCUACGGGAGGCAGCAGUGGGGAAUUUUGGACAAUGGGCGAAAGCCUGAUCCAGCAAUGCCGCGUGUGUGAUGAAGGCCUUCGGGUUGUAAAGCACUUUUGGCGGGAACGAAAAGGACUGUGCCAAUACCACGGUUCGAUGACGGUACCCGCAGAAUAAGCACCGGCUAACUACGUG
rnacentral:rRNA from 1 species